UACAGAGGGUGCAAGCGUUAAUCGGAUUUACUGGGCGUAAAGCGUGCGUAGGCGGUUUGCUAAGUCAAUUGUGAAAGCCCUGGGCUCAACCUGGGAAUUGCAGUCGAUACUGGUAGGCUAGAGAACGGUAGAGGGAGGCGGAACUCCAGGUGUAGCGGUGAAAUGCGUAGAUAUCUGGAAGAACACCGAUGGCGAAGGCAACCUCCUGGGCCUGUUCUGACGCUGAGGCACGAAAGCGUGGGUAGCAAACAGG
rnacentral:rRNA from 1 species